rnacentral:rRNA from 1 species
UUUAAGAAAAUUUUAAAAAUUUGGAUUAUUGAACUGGAUUAGUACCCAGGUAAUCAAAAUUAAUUAAUUCGGGAGUAAAGUUUUGUUUAAACCGAAAAAAUAUUGACUGACUCUGGAUUUCUUUUUGGAAUAUGUGUAUGGAGAGCCCUCUUUAAUAGUAAAUCUUUUUUUGCACAUGUAUGAUUGUUUAGUUUUUAUUUUGUUUUGUAAUGCUUUUUUUUAGAUUUAAAACAGAUAUAUACUUGGCUUAUGGGUUUAUUAAUC